rnacentral:rRNA from 1 species
AUGGCGGCCACGGCCGCGGCGGCGACGCUGGCGGCGGCCACCUCCUCCCUCCUCCGGCGCUCCUCCUUGCUGCGGCCGCACGGGCUCCGGGUCUCCCGCGACUUCGCUCCCCGAAGAUUUGUGCGCCACAUUGCUUCAUCAACAAAUGAAGAGGCUGCUGCCAGAACAGCGGCAGCAACUGCUGAUACUGGAGGACCGACCAUUUUUGACAAGAUCAUAGCAAAGGAAAUCCCUUCAAGCAUUGUCUAUGAGGACGAGAAAGUCUUAGCAUUUAGAGAUAUCAAUCCGCAAGCUCCUGUGCAUGUUCUAGUCAUCCCGAAACUAAGAGAUGGGCUAACUGGACUUGAUAAGGCUGAACCAAGGCAUGCUGAAAUUCUGGGGCAGCUGCUUUACGCUGCGAAGGUAGUGGCCGAGAAGGAAGGCGUGGCAGAUGGAUUCCGGGUCGUCAUAAACAACGGAGCAGAAGGAUGUCAAUCAGUCUACCAUCUGCACGUACAUGUACUUGGUGGAAGGCAGAUGAAAUGGCCUCCUGGUUAA